CCCUAAAUCACACGCCCGUUUUCCUGCUCCGCCUCCCAGAAUCCCCCUCGUCAGCCGUGGAGUGCUUUGGCGGCCGCCCCCGACGGGAACGGCCUCACGCCGCCGGAGACGCUCCAAUCCAGAGUCUAGGCACUCCCGUCAAUAGGUUUCGCCUCAUCCUCAGCAUCCCCCUCCGUGGAGCUCGUCAUCUGCCAUCCUGGUGUGGCCGCCGAAGAUGCAGAUCUUGGCGGUGGGGAGAGGCAGUGGUGGCGGGCCCUCGUAGGUGGAGCAGCGGUGAUCUGGCGGGAAACGAUCCUGGCAGCGGCGCGGCGGUAGUUCCGAGCGGCACGGUGGCUAUGCGGCGCCUCGGCGACUACCUCCCUCUCCUGGCGACGGCCGCCGUAGAGCGCGGCGUGGCAAGGGCUUCCCGGCCGGUUCCUCAGCGAGCAGCAGUCCCCCUCCCGAGUUGCCACGACGUGGUUACUGGGUUACUGCUGGCCCCCUCCCGCGCGGCACCUCGUCCCAGUCCGGUGUGCGGAUGGGAAGAGAUACGACAGGGAUGGCGGCGCGCCCGUGGACGCGGGCAACCUCAACGUGGCUGCAGGUCCUCCAGGCACGAUUAACGAAGGGUGAUGCUGAUGCACGCUCUCUGUUUGCGUAAAUGCCCCAGCAAAGCUGACGACCCGAGCAGGGAGCAUUGCCUGUUAAUAUAUCCGUAAUCUGUGCAGGUCAGCAGCAGGAGUAAGAAAAGGGUCCAAACCAGAACUGAGAUGAGUUUGAGAUGCUACGUCGUGCAGGACAUGAGGCUGGCAAAUGCAGGGAGACUUCAAUUUGACCACCAGCUUCCAGUAAUCUGGAGAUUCUGAUGCCACAGCACAAUCGACAUCAGGUCUAGAAUAGAAGAAAUGCUCCAGACAUAGAGUCUGCACUUGAGAUGUUGUCCGCGAAGCCAUUUGAGAAGCCCAACCAAAGUGAUAAUGAUGACUGAAUGUGUGCAGCAAACCGUGCCUCAGGUUAGGUAAUCCCAGCUGUUCUUUGUGCAGCAAAGAAGUACACUGGCUUUGAUGGUCUUCAAUACUGAUGUUUGGUGUCAAAAUAAAUACAAAGAUAUACUGUCUUAUUUGUAGUACUUUUGAUUUGUUUGUUUUUCGACAAACAAAUGUAUUUGUGUUAUCUGUAAAAAUACUCAUCAGGGUGCCCUGCUUAAUCUCAUUUUGUGGCUUUGUUA